rnacentral:rRNA from 1 species
GAUGAACGCUGGCGGCGUGCCUAAUACAUGCAAGUCGAGCGAACAGACGAGGAGCUUGCUCCUCUGACGUUAGCGGCGGACGGGUGAGUAACACGUGGAUAACCUACCUAUAAGACUGGGAUAACUUCGGGAAACCGGAGCUAAUACCGGAUAAUAUAUUGAACCGCAUGGUUCAAUAGUGAAAGACGGUUUUGCUGUCACUUAUAGAUGGAUCCGCGCCGCAUUAGCUAGUUGGUAAGGUAACGGCUUACCAAGGCGACGAUGCGUAGCCGACCUGAGAGGGUGAUCAGCCACACUGGAACUGAGACACGGUCCAGACUCCUACGGGAGGCAGCAGUGGGGAAUAUUCCGCAAUGGGCGAAAGCCUGACGGAGCAACGCCGCGUGAGUGAUGAAGGUCUUCGGAUCGUAAAACUCUGUUAUUAGGGAAGAACAAAUGUGUAAGUAACUAUGCACGUCUUGACGGUACCUAAUCAGAAAGCAACGGCUAACUACGUG